AAAUUCAUUUGUAUUCCCAAAAUAAAUAAUAGGCUUUUGGUUUCAAACACUCAACCUUGCACACCACCUCAAACCCAUCUCACACUCUCUCUGUUCUAUUAUAACACCCUCGCCGGAACCGGAGAUCUCCGGCCGACUACUGUCACCGGCUCCUUUUCCUUCAAACACCCCCACCUCUCGACACCCUUACACUCGCAACACGUUUCGACAUUAUAAUACCUCACCUCAUUCUGUUUCGGGCACCUCUCAACCGCACUCUAUCUUGCAUUCCCGCUCCCGAACACACCUUCUGAAUAAGCGAACAAGAAACAAUACAUCGGAGGUAUACGGAUGCCGCCGGAGAUCGCAAAGACAUCGGAGAACAACCGGAAUGCGGCACGCCUCGGAUAAUCGCCCUUGUUCAUUUUCUUGGAUUUUUCCCAAUCUUACUCGUACGCUACUUACAAGAAAUCGCAACGCAACCAAGGUUGAGGAUGAUGAUGCUAUGAAAAGAAGUAGCGUUGAUGCCUAGAUACACAUAUAG